UGGUCAUCACAAUCUUUUCCCCAUCCCGCACGGCCGGCCGCCCCAUCGAAUCUACAGCGCCGGCCUACCCUCCUCCCUCCGGCAUCCUUGCCGCGCCCACGGUGACCUCGCCUCACCACUGGAGCCCCUCUCGUCUGGCGCACUUCCUCCUCUUCUCCCUCCCAUCUACUCCUCCUCUGGCGAUGCGCCCUGCCAUGCAUCUGCCGCGCCACAAGCACAACGCCGGCUGUCCACCGCGAUUCCUCCUCUGCCUUCGCCGGUCACCUCAUCCCGCUGCGCCCACGGCCAUCCACCGUGCCCACCAGCCGAGCCACAGGCAGAGCGCCGACUAUCUGACGCGCUUCCUCCUUUCUCUCCUAUCGCUGUGCCCACGGCGCCCACACAUCCACCAUGCCAACCAUGCGCGCCGCCACCCCUGUACGCCUCCUCCUCCGCCAGACUGACUCCCAAUCCCACCUUCAAGCCGCCGCCGCUGCUCACGGCUCCAUUAGACCCUCCCCUCGCAGCACACUUUCCUCAGCUCCGAGCAUGACGCAGGUCGUCCGCCAUGGUCCAGUGUCGUCCGCCAUGGUCACCGUCCACCCAGAAUAGACCCUCUGUACCCCGUUCCUCUGCUUCGCAGCGUGGAUGGCGAGGAGCCCGAUUCAAAGGCGAUGUGAGCACUUCCGCAUUUACUUCACUACUGCUCGCUAGGUUUCUGAAGCUAGAAGCUGGAGAUCCUCAAAUUUUUCGUUUGCUGACACCAAACCAGCCCACUUUGUGGACGCCUUAGCAGCCCAAUGCUCCCAAUGGCCCAUGAUGUUUAUCUUCUUCGAUGCCAUCACUUGAACCCUUCAGCUGCUGGUUAUUAGUGAUUGACGCUUCAUUUCCUCUCCCCAAGAUCUCUGCAGAAGAAACUGAUGGAUUCCUCUUUAAAUUUGGUGCUCCACCUGAACGCAUUUUGUACCAAUCAUCCUCCACACGGGUGGGCGUCUGCCAUACCGCUCAUAACCGUACCACGAUUGUUCCCGCCGGCGGUGGCUAUGGCGGGGACAACGAGACACUGGGGAAGUUGUCCACACGAGUUGCUCUAUGAGGCGAGGCCAGUGGAGGAUAGGCAGGGGCACACAAUUGUUGCGUACAGGCAAGGGGUUUUCUCGACUACCCUGGACUCGAGCUGCCGCAGCAACCGUCGAUUCUAGGUUAUGACUCCUGACCAUGAUUUAACUAUUGAUUUUCGGAAGAAAAAAUGGUUUAUUCCAGUACUGUUCAUCCUCUUUUGAUGUUCUGAAAUGUCAUGCAGCAAUUUGACUGAUUCGAGUGACGUCCAAGGGAGUUUAUUCAUGUACAUAUAUUCAUUUGUCCGAUGUCUUGAGUAAACAAGAAGCCACCCUCCAGUAGCACCACCUAUGGGAGUGUCCCUAAUACCCUGCUUAUUGCAAAUUUUGAAGUUGUCAGGCCAUGGGUUGCAGCUGCAGAACACAUAUCACAGUUCAAUGAGGAAGCAUGAUCACCUUUUAUGAAGAAAUACAAGACUAUUCACUCGGAGAGGCCCUUAGCCGAUACACAUCUCCAGCCCUCCAUUACAUCCACUCUUUAAUUCUACUCUUCCUAUUUGAAUUGUUCCCAUGGGUGAUCGGAAUCAGAAUUGCUCUGCUACGAAAUCUCUGUGUCUUCUUAAAAAAUCAUAGAAUUGAUAGCCUAUUUUGGGGAAGUCGUAUACUAAAGCUAUGAAUUAUACUACUAUGUUAGCUUCCUGAAGGUAUUUAGGAAAAAAAUGGGGCUUGAAGACGUUGCCAUGAUUAUUUCUAUAACGGGGUACAGAGAAGCAUUUUUUUUGUCAAGUGACUUUCUAUUAUGCAGAUGUGCAAUGUAUGAUGAAAGCACCCAUAAAUAUGACACCGAGAGUUCUUAAUCCAUAUUUAUUUUGAAUAGCCGUAUAUUUUAAUUAGUUCUAAGUUGAUGACAUGCAUGUUUAAAAGCAGCACCAAUUUUCAUACUUACUGUAAUGUACAAACAUCCUCAUUUGUUGCUAGGUUUGCUACCGUUCAUAGGACGAGAAUGUGUUUAUGUGUCGGGGGAGUAUUAUUCUCAUAUAUUUCUAAUUUUAUUCUUGACAAUUUAUUACUAUAAAUUCCUGCAGCAAUGCGCAGGGUAUCAUCUAGUUUCUUAUGUGUCCAGUAGCUAGGCAAGAUGAGUGAUCGUGCGUGGAUGUACACCGAUCACACUAGUUAAAAAGACAUGACCAUUGAAUGGUUAACAAAACCCAACAGGUUUCUGAGAGCCGCAUUUGCAAAUGGUCAGAGGACAACCCGGUGCCCCUGUGCCGGGUGCGAUAAUUGGCACAAGAGGACAUAGGAUGAAAUGGGCAAACACCUGCAGAAGAGGGGUUUUACGUCAGGUUAUACGGUGUGGACAUUUCAUGGCGAGUCUGCCCAACGUGCCAGAGCUGAGGUGCUUUGUCGUUGCACCGAUGAGCAUGGUACCGGGAUGGAAGACAUGGUGCAAGACUUUGAUGAUGCUCGAGACUCGGACGAUGAGAUGGAGUAAUCUGCA